CGAACGGGUGAGUAAACGCGUAGGUAACCUGCCUGGUAGCGGGGGAUAACUAUUGGAAACGAUAGCUAAUACCGCAUAAUAGUAGAUGUUGCAUGACAUUUGCUUAAAAGGUGCAAUUGCAUCACUACCAGAUGGACCUGCGUUGUAUUAGCUAGUUGGUGAGGUAACGGCUCACCAAGGCAACGAUACAUAGCCGACCUGAGAGGGUGAUCGGCCACACUGGGACUGAGACACGGCCCAGACUCCUACGGGAGGCAGCAGUAGGGAAUCUUCGGCAAUGGACGGAAGUCUGACCGAGCAACGCCGCGUGAGUGAAGAAAGGUUUUUCGGAUCGUAAAAGCUUCUGUUGUAAA
rnacentral:rRNA from 1 species